rnacentral:rRNA from 1 species
CAGUAGCCACGGUAAUACGGAGGAUCCAAGCGUUAUCCGGAAUCAUUGGGUUUAAAGGGUCCGUAGGCGGUCUUGUAAGUCAGUGGUGAAAGCCCAUCGCUCAACGGUGGAAAGGCCAUUGAUACUGCAGGACUUGAAUUAUUGGGAAGUAACUAGAAUAUGUAGUGUAGCGGUGAAAUGCUUAGAGAUUACAUGGAAUACCAAUUGCGAAGGCAGGUUACUACCAAUUGAUUGACGCUGAUGGACGAAAGCGUGGGUAGCGAACAGGAUUAGAUACCCCCGUAGUCCCUGUCUCUUAUAC